rnacentral:rRNA from 1 species
AACGCGAAAAACCUUACCUGGGUUUGACAUACACCAGACGCCGGCAGAGAUGUCGGUUCCCUUGUGGCUGGUGUACAGGUGGUGCAUGGCUGUCGUCAGCUCGUGUCGUGAGAUGUUGGGUUAAGUCCCGCAACGAGCGCAACCCUUGUCCUGUAUUGCCAGCACGUAAUGGUGGGGACUUGCAGGAGACUGCCGGGGUCAACUCGGAGGAAGGUGGGGAUGACGUCAAGUCAUCAUGCCCCUUAUGUCCAGGGCUUCACACAUGCUACAAUGGCGCGUACAGAGGGCUGCGAGACCGUGAGGUGGAGCGAAUCCCUUAAAGCGGGUCUCAGUUCGGAUUGGGGUCUGCAACUCGACCCCAUGAAGUCGGAGUCGCUAGUAAUCGCAAAUCACCAACGCUGCGGUGAAUACGUUCCCGGGUCUUGUACACACCG